rnacentral:rRNA from 1 species
AUGAAAUUAAAAUUAUUAAAUAUAAUUUUAUCAAUAAUAAAUAAACUUAAUAAUAAUAAUAAUAUUAUUAUUAAUAAUCUAUUAGAUUCAUUAAUAAAUAAGAAAUUAUUAUUAAAGAAUAUAUUAUUAAAUAUAAAUAAUAAAAAAAUAAAUAAUAUAAAAAGAAUAUUAAAUAAUAAUAAUAUAAAUAUUAAUAAUAAAUUACAACAUUUAAAUAAUAUAAAUAAUUGAAAUCUACAAAUUUAUAAUUAUAAUAAAAAUAUAGAAAUUAUAAAUACUAUAAAUGAUAAAUUAAUUAAUAAAUUAUUAUAUAAAAUAAUAACUUUAAAAUUAAAUAAUAUAAAUAUUAAUAAAAUUAUUAUAAGUAAACUUAUUAAUCAACAUAGUUUAAAUAAAUUAAAUAUUAAAUUUUAUUAUUAUAAUAAUGAUAUUAAUAAUAAUAAUAAUAAUAAUAAUAAUAAUAAUAAUAAUAAUUAUUAUAUAAAUAUAAUAAAUAAAUUAAUAAAUAUUAUAAAUAAUAAUAUAAAUAAUAAUUUAUGUAAUAUUUUAAGUUAUUAUUAUAAUAAAAAAGUAACUAUUGAACCUAUUAAAUUAUCAUAUAUUUAUUUAAAUAGUGAUAUUUUUAGUAAAUAUAUUAGUUUAAAUGAUAUAGAUAAAUAUAAUAAUGGUAUCUUAACUAAUUAUCAACGUAUAUUAAAUAAUAUUAUGCCUAAAUUAAAUGAUCAUAAUAUUUCUAUAAAUUAUAUUAAUAAUAUUAAUAAUAUUAAUAAUAAUAAAUAUAAUAAUAUAAUUAAUUUAUUAAAUAAUAAUAAUAAUAAUAAUAAUAUUAAUAAUAAUAAUAAUAAUUAUAAUAAUAAUAAUAAUAAUUAUAUUGGUAAUAUUAAUAAUAUUUAUAAUAAUAUAACUAUUGAUAAUAUUCCUAUAGAUAUUUUAAUAUAUAAAUAUUUAGUUGGUUGAUCUAUUAAAUUUAAAGGUAGAUUAAGUAAUAAUAAUGGUAGAACUAGUACACUUAAUUUAUUAAAUGGUACUUUUAAUAAUAAAAAAUAUUUAUGAAGUAAUAUUAAUAAUAAUUAUAAAUUAAAUUAUAUCCCUUCUAAUCAUAAUUUAUAUAAUAAUUCUAAUAUUAAUAAAAAUGGUAAAUAUAAUAUUAAAGUUAAAUUAAACUUUAUUUAA